rnacentral:rRNA from 1 species
AUUGAACGCUGGCGGCAGGCCUAACACAUGCAAGUCGAGCGGAAACGAUCCUAGCUUGCUAGGAGGCGUCGAGCGGCGGACGGGUGAGUAACGCGUGAGAAUCUACCCAUGAGUGGGGGACAACCCGGGGAAACUCGGGCUAAUACCGCAUACGCCCUACGGGGUAAAGCAGGGGACCUUCGGGCCUUGCGCUGAUGGAUGAGCUCGCGUCGGAUUAGCUUGUUGGUGAGGUAAAGGCUCACCAAGGCGACGAUCCGUAGCUGGUCUGAGAGGAUGAUCAGCCACACCGGGACGUGAGACACGGCCCGGACUCCUACGGGAGGCAGCAGUGGGGAAUCUUGGACAAUGGGGGCAACCCUGAUCCAGCCAUGCCGCGUGUGUGAAGAAGGCCUUCGGGUUGUAAAGCACUUUCAGCAGGGAGGAAGGCUUACCCCUAAUACGGGUGAGUACUUGACGUUACCUGCAGAAGAAGCACCGCUAAUUU